CAAUCUGCCUUGGAGUGGGGAAUAACGGCUGGAAACAGCCGCUAAUACCGCAUGAUACAGCUGGGCCGCAUGGCUCUGGCUGUCAAAGAUUUAUCGCUCUGAGAUGAGCUCGCGUCUGAUUAGCUAGUUGGCGGGGUAAAGGCCCACCAAGGCGACGAUCAGUAGCCGGACUGAGAGGUUGGCCGGCCACAUUGGGACUGAGACACGGCCCAGACUCCUACGGAAGGCAGCAG
rnacentral:rRNA from 1 species